ACCAAUAAGAUAGCGCCAGACCUCUUCUAGAGGUGACGAGGAAGAAGCUAAUCGAAUGAUUCGGCGGGUGGCUUCAGGGUUGCUGUGCUCUACAGAUCAUUACAAAAACUUUAUAAAAGAACAAAAAAAUGAUCGGACAGCUCG
rnacentral:ncRNA from 2 species